rnacentral:rRNA from 1 species
GACGUAGGGCGCGAGCGUUGUCCGGAUUUAUUGGGCGUAAAGAGCUCGUAGGCGGCUUGUCGCGUCGUCCGUGAAAACCCACAGCUCAACUGUGGGCUUGCGGUCGAUACGGGCAGGCUAGAGUUCGGUAGGGGGAGACUGGAAUUCCUGGUGUAGCGGUGAAAUGCGCAGAUAUCAGGAGGAACACCGGUGGCGAAGGCGGGGUCUCUGGGCCGAUACUGACGCUGAGGCACGAAAGCGUGGGGGAGCAAACAGG